AAUCCAUGGUAUGGGCAUCUCCUUAAUAACUACUUGAAUCUUUCUCGUGCCUCAAACAAGGACUCUACAUCAAACUGCUGGAAAGAUGUGGUCUCAUUUCUUAGCUU
rnacentral:snoRNA from 1 species